CAAAAAUGAUUUGAAUGAGUUAGUUCUUUUUUUGGCUUUUUUGAAGGUUUAGGUCAAGUAUAGUUAAGUCUAUUUACAAGUUUGAUUAAGAAAAGGAAGUUUGAAAAUUCAAUGGCAUAAGACCAAAGUUUCUAUCUUUUCGCAAAGUGGUCAAAGUUUAGAACAAAAUAAGUUCAAUCAAAGAAGAUUUUGAAAAAAAAGGAGGGAGAGAUUUUGGAAUUAAAGAAAUGGGGAGAAGAUGAAGGGACUAGUCCUAUGCACAAAGUUAAAAGUUAAGAGUUGAAAA
rnacentral:lncRNA from 1 species